rnacentral:misc_RNA from 1 species
CGGUACCUAAGAAAUCUGAGCUUCCUUCUAACUCUCAGGCUCAGUCUUCUUCCUCAGAGAGCGGCUCCGGAUCCGACACCGAUUCGGAUACUGAGUCCGGACGAAACGUCAAGCCGAUUGCUUCUAAGCCGAUGGAAGAGACUCCGAAGGCGAAAAAGCCCAGAUCCAAGCCUUCUGCUUCUGCUUCGGCUUCUGCUUCUGCUUCAGCUACGCCUGCGAGACCGUCUUUGAAGAGGCCUAGUGAGACAACAAG